rnacentral:rRNA from 1 species
UACGAAGGGGGCUAGCGUUGUUCGGAAUCACUGGGCUUAAAGGGCGCGUAGGCGGGCAGGCAAGUCAGGGGUGAAAGCCCACGGCUCAACCGUGGAAGUGCCUUUGAUACUGCUUGUCUUGAGGGAGGUAGGGGCGUGCGGAACUUCCGGUGGAGCGGUGAAAUGCGUAGAUAUCGGAAGGAACACCGGUGGCGAAAGCGGCGCGCUGGACCUCUACUGACGCUGAGGCGCGAAAGCCAGGGGAGCAAACGGG